ensembl:snRNA U6 U6 spliceosomal RNA
GUGCUCGCUUUGGCAGCGCAUUUACUAAAAUUGGAACGACACUGAGAAGAUUAGCAUGGCCCCUGCACAAGAAUGACACACAAAUUUGUGAAGCGUUACAUAUUUUU